AGAGUUUGAUCAUGGCUCAGGAUGAACGCUAGCGACAGGCUUAACACAUGCAAGUCGAGGGGCAGCGGGGCGUAGCAAUACGCUGCCGGCGACCGGCGCACGGGUGAGUCACACGUAUGCAACCUACCCUUAGCAGGGGAAUAACCGUGGGAAACCGCGACUAAUACCGCAUAUUCCGUGAGUUCUGCAUGGAGCUUACGGGAAAGGGCUUUCGGGUCCGGCGAAGGAUGGGCAUGCGGGACAUUAGCUAGACGGCGGGGUAACGGCCCACCGUGGCUGCGAUGUCCAGGGGUUCUGAGAGGAAGGUCCCCCACACUGGUACUGAGACACGGACCAGACUCCUACGGGAGGCAGCAGUGAGGAAUAUUGGUCAAUGGGCGGAAGCCUGAACCAGCCAAGUCGCGUGAGGGAAUAAGGCCCUACGGGUCGUAAACCUCUUUGGCGGGGGAGCAAUGGCAGGCACGCGUGCCUGCAGGGAGCGUACCCCGAGAACAAGCAUCGGCUAACUCCGUGCCAGCAGCCGCGGUAAUACGGAGGAUGCGAGCGUUAUCCGGAUUUAUUGGGUUUAAAGGGUGCGCAGGCGGUCAGUCAGGCCGGCGGUGAAAUUUCGGGGCUUAACCCCGGCGAGCCGUCGGAACCGGCCGACUAGAGUGACGGCGAGGCAUGCGGAAUGCGAGGUGUAGCGGUGAAAUGCAUAGAUAUCUCGCAGAACUCCCGAUUGCGAAGGCAGCGUGCCGGCCGUCAACUGACGCUGAGGCACGAAAGCGUGGGGAUCGAACAGGAUUAGAUACCCUGGUAGUCCACGCAGUAAACGAUGAGCGCUAGCCGUGCGGGGGGAAUGACUUCUGCGUGGCCGAGCGAAAGCGUUAAGCGCUCCACCUGGGGAGUACGCCGGCAACGGUGAAACUCAAAGGAAUUGACGGGGGCCCGCACAAGCGGAGGAACAUGUGGUUUAAUUCGAUGAUACGCGAGGAACCUUACCCGGGCUCAAACGCUGUGGGACAGGCCUGGAGACGGGUUUUCCCUUUGGGGUCCACAGCGAGGUGCUGCAUGGUUGUCGUCAGCUCGUGCCGUGAGGUGUCGGCUUAAGUGCCAUAACGAGCGCAACCCUUGCCCACAGUUGCCAGCGGUACGGCCGGGGACUCUGUGGGGACUGCCAGCGCAAGCUGCGAGGAAGGCGGGGAUGACGUCAAAUCAGCACGGCCCUUACGUCCGGGGCGACACACGUGUUACAAUGGCGGGGCACAGCGGGAAGCGACCUGGCGACAGGAAGCGGAUCCCGAAAACCCGCCGCAGUUCGGAUCGGAGUCUGCAACCCGACUCCGCGAAGCUGGAUUCGCUAGUAAUCGCGCAUCAGCCAUGGCGCGGUGAAUACGUUCCCGGGCCUUGUACACACCGCCCGUCAAGCCAUGGGAGCUUGGGGUACCUGAAGUACGCUGCCGCGAGGGGCGUCCAAGGGUAAGACAAGUGACUGGGGCUAAGUCGUAACAAGGUAACCGUA
rnacentral:rRNA from 1 species